rnacentral:misc_RNA from 1 species
GUAGGUGAACCUGCGGAAGGGUCAUUAUUGUCGGUAGUUUACUACCGUUUGAGGGGAGCGGAAACUUCCUGGGAUCGUCUGGGAACAAGUACCUUCUUUUCUUAACCCUUGACUUUUUGCGCACUCCAGUUUCCUCGGCAGGCUUGCCUGCCGGUUGGACAAUUCUAUAACCCAUUUUAAUUUUCAAUCAACGUCUGAUUAAUUAUAAUAAUUACAACUUUCAACAACGGAUCUCUUGGUUCUG